GUAAGUGUAAGCAACAAAAGGGUGGAUGGGAAUGCGGCUACAUGGUUCUCCAACAUAUGUUUGACUUUGUCAAUUUGUAUCAAAACCAAUUUUCCGAUGAAAUGUGGCACGACACGAGAGAGGCUAAGGAUAAUGAAAUAGAUGUUUUGUUGAUGACGUUGAUGCCGAAGUUUUUUAGCGAGUUAGGUAUUUCGUUAGAUUAGCUUAUGUAGUUUAUUUAUACAAUUUAACGUAGUUUGUUAUGCAUUCACAAAUGAUUCUAAUUUGACGGGUUUAUCUCCGAAUUGGAUGUCUAA